UACGAAGGGGGCUAGCGUUGUUCGGAAUACUGGGCGUAAAGCGUGCGCAGGCGGCUUCUCAAGUCAGGGGUGAAAGCCCAGAGCUCAACUCUGGAAUUGCCUUUGAGACUGAGUGGCUUGAGUACGAGAGAGGUGAGUGGAAUUCCCAGUGUAGAGGUGAAAUUCGUAGAUAUUGGGAAGAACACCGGUGGCGAAGGCGGCUCACUGGCUCGUAACUGACGCUCAUGCACGCAGCGUGGGGAUCAAACAGG
rnacentral:rRNA from 1 species